GCACAGAGUUAGCCGUCUCUUCCUCUUCGGGUACUAUCAACACAAAUACAGUUAAUAUCUGUGCAUUGUUCCCCAAUGACAGGAGUUUACAAUCCGAAGACAUUCAUCCUCCACGCGGCGUCGCUCGAUCAGGGUUUCCCCCAUUGUCAAAAAUUCUCGACUGCUGCCACCCGUAGGUGUCUGGGCCGUGUCUCAGUCCCAGUGUGGCUGGUCGUCCUCUCAGACCAGCUACCCGUCAAAGCCUUGGUGAGCCGUUACCUCACCAACUAGCUGAUAGGCCGCGGGCCCCACAAGAAGCGUCAGGUUGCCCCGACUUUAAUUUCGAAAGGAUGUCCUCUCUAAUCACAUGCGGUAUUAAUUCGCCUUUCGGCGAGCUAUCCCCCACUUCAUGGCAGGUUGCCCACGUGUUAAGCACCCGUUCGCCACUAAACUUUCCAUCGUAUUGCUACAACGAAAAGUCUCGUUCGACUUGCAUGUCUUAUCCACGCCGCCAGCGUUCGUU
rnacentral:rRNA from 1 species